rnacentral:rRNA from 1 species
CUAAGAAUAUUCCGCAAUGGACGGAAGUCUGACGGAGCGACGCCGCGUGGAUGACGAAGGCCGAAAGGUUGUAAAGUUCUUUUGCUGGGGAAGAAUAACCGCAGGAGGGAAUGCCUGUGGGAUGACAAGAACCGGCGAAUAAGCCCCGGCCAACUACGUGCCAGCAGCCGCGGUAACACGUAGGGGGCGAGCGUUGUUCGGAAUUACUGGGCGUAAAGGGCAUGUAGGCGGCUUGGAAAGCCUGGCGUGAAAGUCUGCAGCUUAACUGCAGGGGUGCGCCGGGAACUGCUGAGCUUGAGUGACGGAGAGGGAGCUGGAAUUCCUGGUGUAGGGGUGAAAUCUGUAGAUAUCAGGAAGAACACCGAUGGCGAAGGCAAGCUCCUGGCCGAUGACUGACGCUGAGGUGCGAAAGUGUGGGGAUCAGACAGGAUUAGAUACCCUGGUAGUCCACACAGUCAACGAUGUGCACUAGGUGCUGGGGCGGUAGCUUCGGUGCCGGAGCGAACGUGGUAAGUGCACCGCCUGGGGAGUAUGCUCGCAAGGGUG